UACGUAGGUGUCGAGCGUUGUCCGGAUUUAUUGGGCGUAAAGAGCCCGCAGGCGGCUUGGCAAGUUUGGGGUGAAAUCUCCCGGCUCAACUGGGAGGGUGCCCUGAAAACUGUCAGGCUUGAGUCAUGGAGAGGGAUGUGGAAUUCCAGGUGUAGUGGUGAAAUGCGUAGAUAUACGGAGGAACACCAGCGGCGAAGGCGGGUAGCUGGGCCAACACUGACGCUGAUGCGCGAAAGCUAGGGGAGCAAACGGG
rnacentral:rRNA from 1 species